GCCCGCUCAGAAACUACAAAGGAAUUGACGGGGCCCGGCACAAGCGGUGGAGUAUGUGGUUUAAUUCGAUGCAACGCGAAGAACCUUACCUGGUCUUGACAUCCCGGAGACCCUUAGGAAACUAGGGGGUGCUUCCAUCUGGAAGAAUCUGGAGACAGGUGCUGCAUGGCUGUCGUCAGCUCGUGUCGUGAGAUGUUGGGUUAAGUCCCGCAACGAGCGCAACCCUUGCCUUUAGUUGCCAGCAGUUCGGCUGGGCACUCUAAAGGGACUGCCGGUGUUAAACCGGAGGAAGGUGGGGAUGACGUCAAGUCCUCAUGGCCUUUAUGACCAGGGCUACACACGUACUACAAUGGCCGAUACAAAGGGCAGCGACACUGCGAGGUGAAGCCAAUCCCGUAAAAUCGGUCUCAGUCCGGAUUGGAGUCUGCAACUCGACUCCAUGAAGUUGGAAUCGCUAGUAAUCGUGGAUCAGCAUGCCACGGUGAAUACGUUCCCGGGCCUU
rnacentral:rRNA from 1 species